CGUCCGCGGCCACACACAGCAUGUGAUCCUUCUCUUAAGUUCCAGGGGAAUUAGGACUGCAAGGAGACGGGGACGGGGGUCCCUGUGGCCCCCUUUCUCUUGCUUCCUCUGGCCAGAAGGUGGCCUGAGGAACAAUAGCUUCCCUUAGCCCCUCUCCCUGCCUCGGGUUAGAAAAGGCGCUGGGACACGGUGGAGCUGACAAAGACCCCUCCCCACGCAGGCACAGGAAGGAAGAAGGAGAGGGCUCAGCAGAGGGGAAUGUUAUUUUGGUGGUGGUGGUGUCUCCAGACGGGGUAGCACCCCCUUUUUGCUGCCUUUCCAGGGAGAGCAGCAAAAGAAAGAGAGAGGCGAGCGAAAUUCCUGAAUGGAGAGACAGAUGCUACGUCAUCGCCAUCGGAGCUGCGUCCUCCCUCCACAGGAGGCAGAAGCCGAGCGAGGCAGUCCGGCGGCGGAGCCGUCUCUUCACAGAAGCCCGGAGCUGGGCGUCCGAAGAGGCAGCUGUUUGUUUCUGGCAUCACCGUAGUGGCCACCUUUGGCUUUUGGGCUCUCACCCCGGGGUGGGUGGGCGGGUGGCUGCUUCAGCACCCUCCCGCCCUCCUUCCUCCACACGUGCGUCCGAGCCGCUGCCAGCACCACGGACAGCUCCCAGCGAUCCCAAGAGUGGAAGAGGUGUGACCAGUGUCACUCAGCUGGUUAGUGGAAAUGACAACCCUGCCACUCCAGGCUCCUGAAUCCCAGCCUGGCCACCUUUAAGCAUCUCCCUGCCUGAGCUGGGCAGAGCAGGCGGAAGCUGACCCAAAAGAAGAAUCUUCUUCACGCAGUCCUGGGUUUCCUCUGAGAAGCUUUCCUGGAUCGACUGAAGGGUGAGGCUGACGUCCAGCAAGCUGACACCUCCUCCAAGAAGCCUUCAUGCAGGAUAGGAGCAGCCCCUACGCCGGGAGCCACCUGGGAUAAGACGAGGCCUCACCGUUGCUCCCGGGGCCACAAGCUGCCCGUCCCAACCCAGCCUGGUCCCCCCCUGUCUUCUGAGCUGAGAUUCCUCUGAGAUGGAAGUGCCAUCUCCUGUCUAAUAAAGACUGUUGUCCACUGAA